UUUACCUCCCACUCUCCCUCUUCCCAAUCCAAAUUUACCGCGACCAAUUCCAGGCCUUUGCAUUGGUCUGGAUGACAGAGAAGUGAUCUGGGCCAACGUGUCAGAAGAGGGCCGAACUCUUCCUCCCAGGACUGGUUCUUCUCUUCUAAAGACCAAGAUCUCCGAAGCUACUUACUGCCCUGUGUAGAGGCAGGCCUACCACAGAAUCACCCCAGACUGGUACCCUUUGGUCCCAUUGCACUUAGUAAAAUAAAAGGCAUUGUCGGCCCAGGUAUUCCUGCUGCCCCCAUGCACUCCACGCCCCUUCAACAACCACAAGCUUUAUUUGAGGAAGGGAACCUCCAGAUUCACUCAGCGAAGCCAACACGGUAACCGGAUUUGCACUCCUAUCUCGGUUGUCUCCCCACGCCUAAUUUACCAAGCAGGCUUAGGGCCUACAGUGUAACCCACGGGAAGGAGAACAGAGCAGCGGCAGGUCCCCUCACCCGCUGGCGUGUCUGUGGUGACAACUUCCUGUCUUCACGUUAGGCUCUAGUGCUGCCAACCUCCAAGGAAGGGUAACCUGUGAGUGUCAAAGUCGCUGAUAUCCUAAGUGUGACUAAAAAUCAGGCAGGGCUUAUGGAGGGGCGGGCACUGCGGGGCGAGGUGAUAAAGCUCCGGCUACUUAAAGAGGCAGAGUGCUGAUGGGAGGGUCACAGCAAAAUGUUUUGUAUUCUAGAGUUUUAAGGUCAGUUUGCUCUCGCUAAUGAGUUUCCAACAUACUUGUCCUUUCAGACCCACCUUUGCCAACGUUUUUAUUCAAACUUCAGUGUGUGCGUGCAUGCACACACACAUUCCCUCUUUCUCACUAACUUCUGAGAAUUCCUGCUUUGCAGAAAGUUUAGAGAAAAUACUUUUUCCCUCCUGAGUUUAUUCUUAGCCUACUUCAAGUAGGCAUUUCGUCACCUUCUUUACAAGUCUUGGCACAGCAGAUGAGUGAAGUUCCCUGGCUCUUCUUCAGUUCUUAAUGACUACGGUACUUUGCUCAGUGUCAAUAAAUAUGCGAUUGCUUGGAUGCCUGAGUUAGCUACUCAACAGUUCUACUGCGACAGGUGUCCAGGGCUUAGAAACUCUGUGCAUGCAGAAGACAGGUUUUGUGUUGGUAAAUUAACAAUCGCAGUAUGCUCUCUUGAAUCCUCCCGACGGGCGUCACUUCAACUUUUAAGUGUGGAUUUGAUUACUAAAAAUGGUCAAAAUUCAUUCCAAAUGAAGUCCAGUGCUCCUACAGAGUUAAUACUGGUUUUCCUAAAUGCGACAAAUAAGAUGUGAAACCCCGUAUUAUUGUUAAAGACGAGCCAGUAAGGACAUCACCAAGAUCACUUUUCAUUCUUCAUCAAACUGCUAGUGUCACAAUGCGAGUCAGGGUACACUGCAGGCACCAGAACGGAUCCCAUCUGGGCUCAUCCGGUAUGCUGACAGUGUGUCACACACCCGGUCUCUCUGGCCAGAGCCCGCCGUGGGCACAGCAGAGAGAAUGCGGCUUUUCCCGCGGCCUCUAGAGGUCCUACCGACUGCGAUCAGUCAGAACUUUUUCAACCACCAUGCCCACAGCCUUACUUCCUACGAAAUUAGGACGGCCCGUUGUGGAUUCAGUGACCCUUUAUGAAUCUCCGAUCCAUCGCUCCCUGCUCCAGUAAAGCAGGCUAACUGCUCAUUUCCAGUCCAAGAAUUCACUUUCUUGUUCUAGGAUCUUCUAAACUUGCAGGCACAUUAGAAUCGCGUGGGGGGGACUUAAAAAAAAACAAAACACCCAGGCUCCACCCCAGGCAAAUUAGACCAUGCCAGGGUGGGCCCUGGCACAAAUUUAUUUUUUAAGGUCCCCGGCUUCGUCUCACGUUCAGCCGAGAUCAAAACAGUGUGCCUGUCUCCGCCUUAUAGGAUCAGCCUGUGGCAAUGAACAUCCCGAAUUAGUACUUAUUGGCUAAUAAACAUGGGACUGAUUGAACUAUUCUUGUCCAUUGUUUUU